rnacentral:rRNA from 1 species
AGGACGAACGCUGGCGGCGCGCCUAACACAUGCAAGUCGAACGAGAAAUGAAGAGCUUGCUCUUCAAAUCGAGUGGCGAACGGGUGAGUAACGCGUGAGGAACCUGCCUCAAAGAGGGGGACAACAGUUGGAAACGACUGCUAAUACCGCAUAAGCCCACGGCUCGGCAUCGAGCAGAGGGAAAAGGAGCAAUCCGCUUUGAGAUGGCCUCGCGUCCGAUUAGCUAGUUGGUGAGGUAACGGCCCACCAAGGCGACGAUCGGUAGCCGGACUGAGAGGUUGAACGGCCACAUUGGGACUGAGACACGGCCCAGACUCCUACGGGAGGCAGCAGUGGGGAAUAUUGCACAAUGGGGGAAACCCUGAUGCAGCGACGCCGCGUGGAGGAAGAAGGUCUUCGGAUUGUAAACUCCUGUUGUUGAGGAAGAUAAUGACGGUACUCAACAAGGAAGUGACGGCUAACUACGUGCCAGCAGCCGCGGUAAAACGUAGGUCACAAGCGUUGUCCGGAAUUACUGGGUGUAAAGGGAGCGCAGGCGGGAGAACAAGUUGGAAGUGAAAUCCAUGGGCUCAACCCAUGAACUGCUUUCAAAACUGUUUUUCUUGAGUAGUGCAGAGGUAGGCGGAAUUCCCGGUGUAGCGGUGGAAUGCGUAGAUAUCGGGAGGAACACCAGUGGCGAAGGCGGCCUACUGGGCACCAACUGACGCUGAGGCUCGAAAGUGUGGGUAGCAAACAGGAUUAGAUACCCUGGUAGUCCACACCGUAAACGAUGAUUACUAGGUGUUGGAGGAUUGACCCCUUCAGUGCCGCAGUUAACACAAUAAGUAAUCCACCUGGGGAGUACGACCGCAAGGUUGAAACUCAAAGGAAUUGACGGAA